GGGUUGUGAGGUUAAGCGACUAAGCGUACACGGUGGAUGCCCUGGCAGUCAGAGGCGAUGAAGGACGUGCUAAUCUGCGAUAAGCGUCGGUAAGGUGAUAUGAACCGUUAUAACCGGCGAUUUCCGAAUGGGGAAACCCAGUGUGAUUCGUCACACUAUCAUUAACUGAAUCCAUAGGUUAAUGAGGCGAACCGGGGGAACUGAAACAUCUAAGUACCCCGAGGAAAAGAAAUCAACCGAGAUUCCCCCAGUAGCGGCGAGCGAACGGGGAGCAGCCCAGAGCCUGAAUCAGUGUGUGUGUUAGUGGAAGCGUCUGGAAAGGCGCGCGAUACAGGGUGACAGCCCCGUACACAAAAAUGCACAUAUUGUGAGCUCGAUGAGUAGGGCGGGACACGUGGUAUCCUGUCUGAAUAUGGGGGGACCAUCCUCCAAGGCUAAAUACUCCUGACUGACCGAUAGUGAACCAGUACCGUGAGGGAAAGGCGAAAAGAACCCCGGCGAGGGGAGUGAAAAAGAACCUGAAACCGUGUACGUACAAGCAGUGGGAGCACGCUCAGGCGUGUGACUGCGUACCUUUUGUAUAAUGGGUCAGCGACUUAUAUUCUGUAGCAAGGUUAACCGAAUAGGGGAGCCGAAGGGAAACCGAGUCUUAACUGGGCGUUAAGUUGCAGGGUAUAGACCCGAAACCCGGUGAUCUAGCCAUGGGCAGGUUGAAGGUUGGGUAACACUAACUGGAGGACCGAACCGACUAAUGUUGAAAAAUUAGCGGAUGACUUGUGGCUGGGGGUGAAAGGCCAAUCAAACCGGGAGAUAGCUGGUUCUCCCCGAAAGCUAUUUAGGUAGCGCCUCGUGAAUUCAUCUCCGGGGGUAGAGCACUGUUUCGGCAAGGGGGUCAUCCCGACUUACCAACCCGAUGCAAACUGCGAAUACCGGAGAAUGUUAUCACGGGAGACACACGGCGGGUGCUAACGUCCGUCGUGAAGAGGGAAACAACCCAGACCGCCAGCUAAGGUCCCAAAGUCAUGGUUAAGUGGGAAACGAUGUGGGAAGGCCCAGACAGCCAGGAUGUUGGCUUAGAAGCAGCCAUCAUUUAAAGAAAGCGUAAUAGCUCACUGGUCGAGUCGGCCUGCGCGGAAGAUGUAACGGGGCUAAACCAUGCACCGAAGCUGCGGCAGCGACACUAUGUGUUGUUGGGUAGGGGAGCGUUCUGUAAGCCUGCGAAGGUGUACUGUGAGGUAUGCUGGAGGUAUCAGAAGUGCGAAUGCUGACAUAAGUAACGAUAAAGCGGGUGAAAAGCCCGCUCGCCGGAAGACCAAGGGUUCCUGUCCAACGUUAAUCGGGGCAGGGUGAGUCGACCCCUAAGGCGAGGCCGAAAGGCGUAGUCGAUGGGAAACAGGUUAAUAUUCCUGUACUUGGUGUUACUGCGAAGGGGGGACGGAGAAGGCUAUGUUGGCCGGGCGACGGUUGUCCCGGUUUAAGCGUGUAGGCUGGUUUUCCAGGCAAAUCCGGAAAAUCAAGGCUGAGGCGUGAUGACGAGGCACUACGGUGCUGAAGCAACAAAUGCCCUGCUUCCAGGAAAAGCCUCUAAGCAUCAGGUAACAUCAAAUCGUACCCCAAACCGACACAGGUGGUCAGGUAGAGAAUACCAAGGCGCUUGAGAGAACUCGGGUGAAGGAACUAGGCAAAAUGGUGCCGUAACUUCGGGAGAAGGCACGCUGAUA
rnacentral:rRNA from 1 species